AGCGAAAUGCGAUAAUGGUGUGAAUUGCAGAAUCCCGUGAACCAUCGAGUCUUUGAACGCAAGUUGCGCCCGAGGCCAUCAGGCCAAGGGCACGCCUGCCUGGGCAUUGCGAGUCAUAUCUCUCCCUUAACGAGGCUGUCCAUACACACCUGUUCAGCCGGUGCGGAUGU
rnacentral:rRNA from 1 species